GGGGCAUAUGUCUUGUAAUUGGAAUGAUGCCGACUUAAACCCUCGGCAGAGUACCAAUUGGAGGGCAAGUCUGGUGCCAGCAGCCGCGGUAAUUCCAGCUCCAAUAGCGUAUAUUAAACUUGUUGCAGUUAAAAAGCUCGUAGUUGAAUUUGAGCUUGCGCGAUUCCGUUAUUGGAGUAUUGCGCUUGCUUUUUUGUUACUUUGAGAAAAUUAGAGUGUUUCAAGCAGACUUUUGUCUUGAAUACUUCAGCAUGGAAUAAUAGAGUAGGACCUUGGUUCUAUUUUGUUGGUUUUUGAGCCUUGGUAAUGGUUAAUAGGAACGGUUGGGGGCAUUCGUAUUUA
rnacentral:rRNA from 1 species